rnacentral:rRNA from 1 species
UGGGGAAUAUUGCACAAUGGGGGAAACCCUGAUGCAGCGACGCCGCGUGAGCGAAGAAGGUUUUCGAAUCGUAAAGCUCUGUCCUAUGAGAAGAUAAUGACGGUAUCAUAGGAGGAAGCCCCGGCUAAAUACGUUCCAGCAGCCGCGGUAAUACGUAUGGGGCGAGCGUUGUCCGGAAUUAUUGGGCGUAAAGGGUACGUAGGCGGUCUAUUAAGUCAGGUGUGAAAGCGUGAGGCUUAACCUCAUUAAGCACUUGAAACUGAUAGACUUGAGUGAAGGAGAGGAAAGUGGAAUUCCUAGUGUAGCGGUGAAAUGCGUAGAUAUUAGGAGGAAUACCGGUGGCGAAGGCGACUUUCUGGACUUUUACUGACGCUCAGGUACGAAAGCGUGGGGAGCAAACAGG